UAUAAGACGAGAAGACCCCAUGGAGCUUUAAACCCAACUAUAUACCUAACUAUUAUAACCACUUAAUCCCUUAGCACUAAUAUACUUGGUUUUAGGUUGGGGCGACCACGGAGUAUAACUAAACCUCCACAAUGAACGAAACAACCCUUCUUAUCUGAGAAUUACACCUCUAAGAAUUAGCACACUAACAUAAAAUGACCCAUUAUUGAUCAACGAACCAAGUUACCCUGGGGAUAACAGCGCAAUCCAUUUUAAGAGCCCCUAUCGACAAAU
rnacentral:rRNA from 1 species